rnacentral:rRNA from 1 species
AACCAGCACCUCAAGUGGUCAGGAUGAUUAUUGGGCCUAAAGCAUCCGUAGCCUGUUUUGUAAGUCUUCGGUUAAAUCCAUCAACUCAAGUGAUGGGCCGUCGGAGAUACUGCAAAACUAGGGAAUGGGAGAGGUAGACGGUACUCGGUAGGAAGGGGUAAAAUCCUUUGAUCUAUUGAUGACCACCUGUGGCGAAGGCGGUCUACCAGAACAUGUUCGACGGUGAGGGAUGAAAGCUGGGGGAGCAAACCGG